GACGAACGCUGGCGGCGUGCUUAACACAUGCAAGUCGAACGGAAAGGCCCUGCUUGCAGGGUACUCGAGUGGCGAACGGGUGAGUAACACGUGGGUGAUCUGCCCUGCACUUCGGGAUAAGCCUGGGAAACUGGGUCUAAUACCGGACAGGAGCCAUUUUUAGUGUGAUGGUUGGAAAGUUUUUUCGGUGUAGGAUGAGCUCGCGGCCUAUCAGCUUGUUGGUGGGGUAAUGGCCUACCAAGGCGGCGACGGGUAGCCGGCCUGAGAGGGUGGACGGCCACAUUGGGACUGAGAUACGGCCCAGACUCCUACGGGAGGCAGCAGUGGGGAAGAUUGCACAAUGGGCGCAAGCCUGAUGCAGCGACGCCGCGUGGGGGAUGACGGCCUUCGGGUUGUAAACUCCAUUCGCUAGGGACGAAGCUUUUUGUGACGGUACCUAGAUAAGAAGCACCGGCUAACUACGUG
rnacentral:rRNA from 1 species